rnacentral:lncRNA from 1 species
AUUUAAUUGUGUCAGAAUUUAAGCCAUAAAGUUAUAUGAAUCAUGGCUCUCAAACAUAUUUUUUUCUAAGUUGCUCACGAUGCAGUAAAUGGAAUUUAUUCCACUGUUUAUUAAACUUAUAAAUCUCUCCAUAUAAGUGCCUGAGUCCACCACUUCAGGAUGCAUCCAUACUAAUAACUUACUUCUAAGUUCAAGCUGUUAUUCAAGCUAAAAAUCCUGUAUUGACCACACAACGUGUUACCUCAGAUUUUGGCUUUAGUCCAGAACAAGGCAAAUGGCAGCCCUAGCAGAAAUAUUUGUGCUUAAAGAGAGGCUGGCUUCUGCAGAAAUUUUGCCUUCUACAAGCAGUGUUGAAGAGGUGUCAUGAACAGAUUGGUGCUGGGAGCCAGAGCCCACAUUUGAAUACAGGUGCCAAGGACGCACAGAGUGUAUGUGUAUACAGAGUGUGGACAAAUGAUUCUCUGAAGUGAGGGCACCUCAGAGAAGCAACCAGAAAGACAAACAUUUAUGACAGAACAUUGCUUAUGUGUCCUUAAUUCCUAAAAGCCUAAAGGAUGAUAAGAUUUCUAUAUGAUAACCUGCUUUGGAUGGCCAUCAUGACUGUAUAUUUAAACAGGAAAAUGACUGACACCUGGAAUAACUUAUUGCUACAAGUUCCUUAUGAGGCAAAGAGAAGCUUCCAAUAGAUACAGCAGCAUACCUUAAAUAUUAUGUGGCUAAUGACCCAAAGACAGACACGGUUCCUCGUUCUCUUGAGGAAACUAACAAGAGGAGACUGAAAAGGCUCAGGCCUUGAAAAAAAUUUCUCAGUGGUGGAACAACUUUUAUGGUUAGUCUUUGCACACAAUGAGAUUUCUAGUUUCUCAGGAACUUGUUCAAUGAGAUUUCCUUUCUUUUUUUUUUUUCUUUUUUUUUUUUUUUUUCCCCUACUAUCACUGUCCUUCCAGGAACAGAACUGAUGUCAUGCUGUACUGCUGGGAUUUUUACAAGACAUGGGAUUCCCUGGGACAUUUAUUUAUGAAGAAAAUGGGUUGUGGAAAGGAAGAAAGGACUACUGAAAGAAAUAGGAAGCCAAAAGAGAUCACUGAAGAAAAUAAAUCUUCCAACAUAAGAAAACAUAAAGCAGAUAAUGAAAGCCAAUGUCUGCCUGUCAUUUGCGUCUUUGAAAAUGUCUCCUGAAGCCCAGCAAUAUAAUGGAGUGCAGUUUUGAUGCUGACUGCUCAGAAGAACAGUCAGUCAAUGGUGAGACUUUUUCUAAUCUGGAUGCAUGAGAUAAGUCUGUUAACAAAGCCCAGUGAGCUCACUACAAUGGCAAGUGUCAAAUACUUUUGUCAUUUGAUAUAACCAAGUGUUGUACAAAGUUGGAUUUUACACUACAUUACUCAGUAACUUUAGAAAGUGCUAUCUGCUUCACCCUAAUUUGUGUGUAUAUAUAUGAAGUUUCUAUGUCUAAUGAAUACCUCUGUACUCCACUGUGCAAAAAGAUUCCCUCUAUCAGACAGUGACAACUCAAUCACAGUGUUUAAGCAUUUCUGUUUCCUAAUGGUCAGAAUAUACAGCACAACCACUGCCAUAUUAAGAACCUGAUGGAAUUACUUAGCCAGACCACUUCUGGUUUGCAUUAAAAAUAAAAAUAAUAAUAAU